rnacentral:tmRNA from 1 species
GGGGUCGACUGGUUUUGACAGCAGGCCGAACUGAACAGUAAGCACGUCGGGAAAUGAAGCUGUUUCCGUAUAUCAUCGCUUCAAACAUUUAAACGGCGAAAAUAACUACGCUCUAGCUGCAUAAUCUAAAUUAAAGUAAGAUUAGCCUCGUCCCUGCAAGGCAGGGAGGCAGGAUUCUCCUGAAAAGCCUCGGUUUAUGGCGUUUCGUUUAGGAGAACCGUAAAAGUAAACCUGGGGGUUGUUUCGCUUCGCGGCAGCCCUGAGAAAACAGAAGCUAAGUAGUGUGUGGCGGUUUCCGGCCUAUCAUACUAUCUAAAACCUAAUCGGAAAAUAAGCGUGUAGAAAGCUCUUUGCUUCCCUGUUUGGACCCGGGUUCGAUUCCCGGCGGCUCCACAA